GCACACAGUAGGCGUUUUGCAACAUGCUGAGCUCUUAGCUAAGGGUUGCUAUAGCUCUGGGACUGGAGAAGAUAGGGACAAAAGAGUCCAGCCCAGCAGAUUAAAUACAGCAAAGGAAAGCAAAGUUUAUGGUGGCUGAGAUCUCAGGAGGAGGAGAAAGAAGAGGAGGGACUGGUGGCUUUGAAAAAAAGGGCAUCUAAAGAUCAACUAUGGAAGACUUAUACAGUAUAAAACCUGAUGUGGGUAGGUGAGAAGGUAAGUUGGUGAGAGUCCUGGAGAUCACAUGAUAAGUUUCCUGAUACUUAAUGGACACACCCUAAAGCCAUUUUCCCAGUUCUUCAAAGACUGGACUCAUUCAUGCCCGUUCAUGGAGGUGGAAAUGGAGACACAGAGACAUCAAAUAACCUGACCAUUUGAGGGCUGGAACCAGAAGCCAGAGGAAAAGAACUCCUGCGGAGCUGCUAAUCCUAGAGUCAACAGUCGACCAAGCUGAGCGGCUUCCCCGGAGGUGGGUGUCUAGCUCAGCCCCAACUGUGCAAACAGACCCUGCAGCCUGGGCUGCCCUAGGGGCGUGGUCUGAAGCGGCAGGUCCUGCUUGCCAGCUCGCCAGCCCCCUUGCUCCCUUUGUGUGUUUCUCAUUGAAUUGGGUGGAAGCUCAAAGGCAGGCUAAGGAAGGUCAAAGCCAAUUUGCAGGGUCAGAGGUCAAGGAGGAGAUAGGCACCCAACCCGUCGCCCGGAAGCUGGCUAGCUGCUUGUCCUGAGUGCUC
rnacentral:lncRNA from 1 species